GAUGAAGAACGUAGCGAAAUGCGAUAAGUAGUGUGAAUUGCAGAAUUCAGUGAAUCAUUGAAUCUUUGAACGCACAUUGCGCCCCUUGGUAUCCCGAGGGGCAUGCCUGUUCGAGCGUCAUUUCACCACUCAAGCCUGGCUUGGUGUUGGGCGACGUCCUCUUUGGGGACGCGCCUCGAAACGCUCGGCGGCGUGGCACCGGCUUUAAGCGUAGCAGAAUCUUUCGCUUUGGAAGUCGGGGCCCCGUCUGCCGGAAGACCUGCUCGCAAGGUUGACCUCGGAUCAGGCAGGGAUACCCGCUGAACUUAAGCAUAUCAAUAAGCGGAGGA
rnacentral:misc_RNA from 1 species